rnacentral:tRNA from 1 species
UAAAAUAGUUUAAAAAAAAUAUUGAUUUGUGGUUUCAAAGAUAUUAAUUAUUUUUAGU